GUGGCGGCGUGCUAUACAUGCAGUCGACGAACUCUGGUAUUGAUUGGUGCUUGCAUCAUGAUUUACAUUUGAGUGAGUGGCGAACUGGUGAGUAACACGUGGGAAACCUGCCCAGAAGCGGGGGAUAACACCUGGAAACAGAUGCUAAUACCGCAUAACAACUUGGACCGCAUGGUCCGAGUUUGAAAGAUGGCUUCGGCUAUCACUUUUGGAUGGUCCCGCGGCGUAUUAGCUAGAUGGUGGGGUAACGGCUCACCAUGGCAAUGAUACGUAGCCGACCUGAGAGGGUAAUCGGCCACAUUGGGACUGAGACACGGCCCAAACUCCUACGGGAGGCAGCAGUAGGGAAUCUUCCACAAUGGACGAAAGUCUGAUGGAGCAACGCCGCGUGAGUGAAGAAGGGUUUCGGCUCGUAAAACUCUGUUGUUAAAGAAGAACAUAUCUGAGAGUAACUGUUCAGGUAUUGACGGUAUUUAACCAGAAAGCCACGGCUAACUACGUGCCAGCAGCCGCGGUAAUACGUAGGUGGCAAGCGUUGUCCGGAUUUAUUGGGCGUAAAGCGAGCGCAGGCGGUUUUUUAAGUCUGAUGUGAAAGCCUUCGGCUCAACCGAAGAAGUGCAUCGGAAACUGGGAAACUUGAGUGCAGAAGAGGACAGUGGAACUCCAUGUGUAGCGGUGAAAUGCGUAGAUAUAUGGAAGAACACCAGUGGCGAAGGCGGCUGUCUGGUCUGUAACUGACGCUGAGGCUCGAAAGUAUGGGUAGCAAACAGGAUUAGAUACCCUGGUAGUCCAUACCGUAAACGAUGAAUGCUAAGUGUUGGAGGGUUUCCGCCCUUCAGUGCUGCAGCUAACGCAUUAAGCAUUCCGCCUGGGGAGUACGGCCGCAAGGCUGAAACUCAAAGGAAUUGACGGGGGCCCGCACAAGCGGUGGAGCAUGUGGUUUAAUUCGAAGCUACGCGAAGAACCUUACCAGGUCUUGACAUACUAUGCAAAUCUAAGAGAUUAGACGUUCCCUUCGGGGACAUGGAUACAGGUGGUGCAUGGUUGUCGUCAGCUCGUGUCGUGAGAUGUUGGGUUAAGUCCCGCAACGAGCGCAACCCUUAUUAUCAGUUGCCAGCAUUAAGUUGGGCACUCUGGUGAGACUGCCGGUGACAAACCGGAGGAAGGUGGGGAUGACGUCAAAUCAUCAUGCCCCUUAUGACCUGGGCUACACACGUGCUACAAUGGAUGGUACAACGAGUUGCGAACUCGCGAGAGUAAGCUAAUCUCUUAAAGCCAUUCUCAGUUCGGAUUGUAGGCUGCAACUCGCCUACAUGAAGUCGGAAUCGCUAGUAAUCGCGGAUCAGCAUGCCGCGGUGAAUACGUUCCCGGGCCUUGUACACACCGCCCGUCACACCAUGAGAGUUUGUAACACCCAAAGUCGGUGGGGUAACCUUUUAGGAACCAGCCGCCUAAGGUGGGACAGAUGAUUAGGGUGAAGUCGUAACAAGGUUAACCCGUAA
rnacentral:rRNA from 2 species